CGCCAGCCCGCUCAGAAAACUUAAAGGAGUUGACGGGGGCCCGCACAAGCGGUGGAGCAUGUGGUUUAAUUCGAUGAUACGCGAGGAACCUUACCUGGGCUCAAAUGUAUGUUGACGUAUUCUGAAAGGGAUACUUCUUCGGACAAUAUACAAGGUGCUGCAUGGUUGUCGUCAGCUCGUGCCGUGAGGUGUCGGGUUAAGUCCCAUAACGAGCGCAACCCCUAUCAUUAGUUGCCAUCAGGUCAAGCUGGGGACUCUAAUGAAACUGCCUACGCAAGUAGUGAGGAAGGUGGGGAUGACGUCAAAUCAGCACGGCCCUUACGUCCAGGGCUACACACGUGCUACAAUGGCCGGUACAAAGGGCAGCUACCUGGUGACAGGAUGCUAAUCUCAAAAGCCGGUCUCAGUUCGGAUUGGAGGCUGCAACUCGCCUCCAUGAAGUCGGAAUCGCUAGUAAUCGUGGAUCAGCAUGCCACGGUGAAUACGUUCCCGGGCCUU
rnacentral:rRNA from 1 species